GUUUGGCUUAGGGUGCCAGAGCGCAUCCCUCUCUGUUUGUCUCAUGAGAAGCCUCCUGCCCCUGGGUUUAACCUGGGAAGCCCCAGGUGUCUGAUGAGUUGGGGCAGCUAAAGGGAAAAUUCAGGAACCACAGCAAGGUUAGCCACACUGCAACUCGAGGCCCGUGCAGGACCAGUGGGCACACAGGUGCUAGAAGUAAAGAAAGAAAUUGAUGUGGGCAGUGCAAUGGGUUGUCCAAGGAGAACCGGUCUGCUCCAGACACUUGACGGCAGAGAGGUCAGCAAUCUGCCUCUUCCUAGGGUCAUAAUCUGUCUGAGGAUCAGGCACCCCAUUUUCUCUGGACAGUCGCCCUCCAGCCUUGAGGACCUGGGUUCCUGCAUUCUUGCCUCAUACAGAAUUCCCCAGAAGGCCAGAGCUUGUUACCCCUGCCACUUCACCAUCUCCUUCCGUUAUUAACGCCCAAAUCAGCACGCUCCGUGACAGGAUCAGCAACUCGCUAUGCUUUUGAAGAAUGUUUCCCUCGGACUAGGCAAGUCCAGCCUCUCCAAACACACUCAGCGAACUACAGGUUCCAUUGAGACCGGUAACCCAACCCAGACUAACGCCCUGGUGCACUUGGACAGCAUGCAGCCCCCGACGGUCCCUCGCUUCUCUCCAGGAAACACCGCAGCCAAGGAAGGCAGGGGCCCGAAUGGUGGGGUUUUGUUUUGUGUGUUCAGAGGCAAUGGUUUGUUUUGUUUUGCAGCUGCGGUGUCCUGUAACAGCGCAGAGAGUUUUCUCCUCGGUGUCAAAAAAAAAAAAAAAAAAAAAAAGGAAAACAAAAAUGAAA